rnacentral:rRNA from 1 species
AUGACGUUGGGAAAGCGAGCGGCGGAUGGGUGAGUAACACGUGGGGAACCUGCCCCUAAGUCUGGGAUACCAUUUGGAAACAGGUGCUAAUACCGGAUAAUAAAGCAGAUCGCAUGAUCAGCUUUUGAAAGGCGGCGUAAGCUGUCGCUAAGGGAUGGCCCCGCGGUGCAUUAGCUAGUUGGUAAGGUAACGGCUUACCAAGGCGACGAUGCAUAGCCGAGUUGAGAGACUGAUCGGCCACAUUGGGACUGAGACACGGCCCAAACUCCUACGGGAGGCAGCAGUAGGGAAUCUUCCACAAUGGACGCAAGUCUGAUGGAGCAACGCCGCGUGAGUGAAGAAGGUUUUCGGAUCGUAAAGCUCUGUUGUUGGUGAAGAAGGAUAGAGGUAGUAACUGGCCUUUAUUUGACGGUAAUCAACCAGAAAGUCACGGCUAACUACGUGCCAGCAGCCGCGGUAAUACGUAGGUGGCAAGCGUUGUCCGGAUUUAUUGGGCGUAAAGCGAGCGCAGGCGGAAAAAUAAGUCUAAUGUGAAAGCCCUCGGCUUAACCGAGGAACUGCAUCGGAAACUGUUUUUCUUGAGUGCAGAAGAGGAGAGUGGAACUCCAUGUGUAGCGGUGGAAUGCGUAGAUAUAUGGAAGAACACCAGUGGCGAAGGCGGCUCUCUGGUCUGCAACUGACACUGAGGCUCGAAAGCAUGGGUAGCGAACAGGAUUAGAUACCCUGGUAGUCCAUGCCGUAAACGAUGAGUGCUAAGUGUUGGGAGGUUUCCGCCUCUCAGUGCUGCAGCUAACGCAUUAAGCACUCCGCCUGGGGAGUACGACCGCAAGGGUUGAAACUCAAAGGAAUUGACGGGGGGCCCGCACAA